UUUGUUUAUGUUUUUUUCUGUAUGAGAAUUGCCUCGUUGCUUAUUUCUCAUACUUCUUUUUUUUCCCCCUUCUUUUUCUUAUUAUUUAUUUCUCUGGAAUUUGGAUAGACAUGCAAUUAGACGAGCAAUUGUAUUUUGGCUUCAGCCUGAUAUCUAUAUUCCAAGAAAUCCUUUUUUUUUUGCACCAGUUUCACAUCAACUUCUUGAUUAUCAUUUGGAAUUCUAUCCUGCUUGUCUCUAUUAUCACUAUUGUUAUCACCCAUGAUGAAAAUCUUUCAUAUUGAAAUUCCAUUUGAGCCAUACUCCAUGGCUGGAUUUGAAUUGAGAUUCUUACUCUGCGACUUUUGUUGGCAUUUCUACUUUUUCCCUCCUUUCCAUAUAUCUAUACUUCGCCCUCCAAAUGUUUUUGGCUUCUGUGCUUCCU
rnacentral:lncRNA from 1 species